UGGGGAAUAUUGCACAAUGGAGGGAACUCUGAUGCAGCGACGCCGCGUGAGUGAUGAAGGAAUUCGUUUCGUAAAACUCUGUUCUAUGGGAAGAAAAGGACUGUACCAUAGGAGAAAGCUCCGGCUAAAUACGUGCCAGCAGCCGCGGUAAUACGUAUGGAGCGAGCGUUGUCCGGAAUUAUUGGGCGUAAAGGGUGCGCAGGCGGCUUUACAAGUUGGAUGUGAAAUAUUGUGGCUCAACCACAAACGUGCAUCCAAAACUGCAAAGCUUGAGUUAAGGAGAGGUAAGUGGAAUUCCGGGUGUAGCGGUGGAAUGCGUAGAUAUCAGGAGGAAUACCGGUGGCGAAGGCGACUUACUGGACUUAAACUGACGCUCAGGCACGAAAGCGUGGGGAGCAAACAGG
rnacentral:rRNA from 1 species